CUCGUUUUGACAUUUGAAGCUUCCUGUUCUCAAUUCUCAAACUACAGACAAUUAUUUUUAACCAAGAAGAUGUCAUUUCAAUGACUUUAAAUGAUUCUGAUCAGGCUUAUUGACUGGUGGCAGAUGGGGUAAAAUGUAUGUAAUAUAAAGUGGCAUUAAGGCCAUGAAGACAGACUGUACAAUAACAUGCUGAAGUUGCAAUCAGAGUUUGACGAAGACCCACGUGUAAUCCCUUAUUGACAGUUGCAGAACUCUGGCCAACAGAUUUCACAUUGGGAUAUAAUGGCAAGUUGGGAUGAGAAACUUCUUACAGCUGUCGAGAAGGGGAAUAUAAAAAAGGUAGAAUUAUGUAUAAAGAAUGGAGCUAGUUUGGAAUGUAGAAAU